rnacentral:lncRNA from 1 species
AUGAAGCUAAUGGAAUUGAUGUCAACCAGCAAGACCAUUCAUAUCCAACUGCAGGGAACCCACUUGUGGUUCUAAAUGAUGAUUCGACCGUCCUACCACCUCUCGAUGAGGAAUGGAUACCUCCCACCCCCACUGAUAAUGAGCAAAUUCCUCCACCCCCACCUGAUAAUGAGCAAAUUCCUCCACCACCGCCUGAUAAUGACCAAGUUCCUCCACCUCCGUCUGAUGAGCUUCAAGAACCUUCUUAUCCUCCGUUACCAUC